rnacentral:rRNA from 1 species
AAUAGAUACCCAGGUAGUCCACGCCGUAAACGAUGUGCACUAGAUGUGGGGGGGUAUCGACCCCCUCCGCGUCGUCGCUAACGCAGUAAGUGCACCGCCUGGGGACUACGGCCGCAAGGCUAAAACUCAAAGGAAUUGACGGGGGGCCCGCACAAGCAGCGGAGCGUGUGGUUUAAUUCGAUGCAACGCGAAGAACCUUACCUGGGCUUGAACGUGUGCUGACCGCCGGUGAAAGCCGGUUUCCCUUCGGGGCAGCAUGCGAGGUGCUGCACGGCUGUCGCCAGCUCGUGUCGUGAGAUGUUGGGUUAAGUCCCGCAACGAGCGCAACCCCCGUCGCAUGUUGCCAGCAUUUAGUUGGGGACUCAUGCGAGACUGCCGGUGAUAAGCCGGAGGAAGGUGGGGAUGACGUCAAGUCCUCAUGGCCCUUACGGGUAGGGCUACACACGUGCUACAAUGGCGGUGACAGAGGGCAGCGACCCCGGCGAGGGGAUGCUAAUCCUAAAAAAGCCGUCUCAGUUCGGAUUGCACUCUGCAACG